UCUUCCGCAAUGGACGAAAGUCUGACGGAGCAACGCCGCGUGAGUGAUGAAGGUUUUCGGGUCGCAAAACUCUGUUGUUAGGGAAGAACAAGUAUCGUUCGAAUAGGGCGGUACCUUGACGGUACCUAACCAGAAAGCCACGGCUAACUACGUUCCCGCAGCCGCGGUAAUACUUAGGUGGUAAGCGUUGUCCGGAAUUAUUGGGCGUAAAGCGCGCGCAGGCGGUUUCUUAAGUCGGAUGUGAAAGCCCCCGGCUCAACCGGGGAGGGUCAUUGGAAACUGGGGAACUUGAGUGCAGAAGAGGAGAGUGGAAUUCCACGUGUAGCGGUGAAAUGCGUAGAGAUGUGGAGGAACACCAGUGGCGAAGGCGACUCUCUGGUCUGUAACUGACGCUGAGGCGCGAAAGCGUGGGGAGCGAACAG
rnacentral:rRNA from 1 species